ACGGAGGAUAAAGCCCUUGCUCUGCCAGUGUACUGAUUGGCUGCGACACGUCCCGCCUCCUGCCAUCCUGAGGGUGGGGGGUAGGGGGAAGGGUCUCUGAUGGGCAGGGAGAGGUGCCAGUGUGCCUUGCCAGCCCGGGACUGCCCCGUCCUGGCCCAGUCAGAGCCCCGGGGCCCAAGAAGCUCAGUCUCCCACAGGGGGGCACUGGCCUCGCCCUUUCUCUGCCUCCAGCACCCAGGGCGGUUGCAGAUGGCAGUGUCUCUGGAGACAGCAGCUGUGUCUGAGUCUGCAGGCCGACGCUGAGCUGCUCAGGCUGAGGUGGUGUGCUCAGCACGGAGCCCCCAGAACAGGCAUCUGCACGUGAGGUGGUGCUGACGUCCUGGCCCCGGGCAGCCUGCGCGUCUCCCCUGGGCCGGCGGGCGGGACGAGGGGCAGCUCCGCCAGCGCUCGCCGCCCUUGUCUCGGCAGCUGAGCCGCCGCGAUGCCGCACUUCCUGGACUGGUUCGUGCCCGUGUACCUGGUCAUCUCCGUGCUCAUCCUCGUGGGCUUCGGCGCCUGCAUCUACUACUUCGAGCCUGGCCUGCAGGAGGCGCACAAGUGGCGCAUGCAGCGCCCCCUGGUGGACCGUGACCUCCGCAAGACCCUGAUGGUCCGCGACAACUUGGCCUUCGGAGGGCCCGAGGUCUGAGCUGACCCGCGCCGGUGGCCAGUCCCCACCCCCACCCCACCUCCGGGCGGGGACCGGGCGUCCUCCCCCUCCUGCACCACCCCCUCGCCCAACUGGAGACCCUGGGCCAGAGAGAGGACAACCCAUGGUCCUCCAGGCCAUCCCUCCGGAGCCUGGAUCCUCGUAGCAGAGGCUUCUGGUUGCUCAGGGUGGACCCUGGGUGCACCCAGUGAGAUGGGGCACCUGGGUACCUUAAGGUGUCGCUGCCACUGGCCCAGGGCUUGCUUUCCACGUCGAGCCAGUUCACUCCACGCCUGCCCUCUAGGUUUAUUCCCCAUUGACCCCCAGUGCCUUUGUGCUGCUCAGCACUCUUGCCCCUCACCUGGCGUCAGGCACCGCUGUCCCUGCCUGUCCUAGCCUCUGGAUUCCACCCCCUCACCGAAUCCCUGGUGAUGCUCAGUGGCCCACUCCACCCAAGGCAUCCACCCUGCAGCUUCACAGGGCCCACUUCAAAGCUGACCCAAGGAAAGGGCCCUAUUUGGAGGGGUGUCUACUUGGUCCAUCCCAGGCCCCUCCCCUGGACUCAGGCUUGGCACUGGUGAGAGUGUGAGAUGGGGAGGCAGAGGGGGUAAGGCCAUAGAGAAAGGAGGUGUGUGUGUGAGAGAGAGACAGAGAGACAGAGUAUCUUGGGGGCAGUGGAGAGGCAUGUGGGGAAGGGGAGAUGCAGGUCUGUCUGUGUGAGAGGGAGAGUGGGAGGUGGUGGGGAUAGUGUGAGCUUGUGAGUAGCAUGGAGGGGGGUGCCAGCAACAGUUCCCACCUCCCUCCCUCUGCCAGACUUCUCUAUCUCUCCUUCCCCAAGGGCCCUGCCCCUCGCCCCACCCUUCAGAUCCUAUACCCCCUGCCCAGCACCACCCUAGCCCCACAGAGAGCCCUCCUCCUGUGUGAUUGGCAGCUGUCUCACUCUCCUUGUCUGUAGCUUCCCUCUUAGUUUCUUGCAAUAAUAAAGACUUCGUGACUAUUUC